rnacentral:tRNA from 1 species
GGGAGUUUAGUCUAGUGGUAUGAUUCUCGCUUCGGGUGCGAGAGGCCGCGACUUCGAUCUCGCAACUCCCC